rnacentral:rRNA from 1 species
GACUACAGGGGUAUCUAAUCCCGUUUGCUCCCCACGCUUUCACGCCUUAGCGUCAGUUAUGUUCCAGGAGAUCGCCUUCGCUUUCGGUAUUCCUAGUGAUAUCUACGGAUUUUACCCCUACACCACUAAUUCCAUCUCCCCCUCCCAUACUCUAGGUUGCCAGUUUCCAAUGCAGUUCUAUGGUUAAGCCAUAGGAUUUCACAUCAGACUUGGCAUCCCGCCUACGCGUCCUUUACGCCCAGUGAUUCCGAAUAACGCUUGCACCCUCCGUAUUACCGCGGCUGCUGGCACGGAGUUAGCCGGUGCUUAUUCAUGAGCUACCGUCAUUUUCUUGACUCAUAAAAGGAGUUUACACACCGAAAUGCGUCAUCCUCCACGCGGCGUUGCUGCAUCAGAGUUUCCUCCAUUGUGCAAUAUUCCUCACUGCAGCCCCCCGUAGG